rnacentral:lncRNA from 1 species
GCGCCUCGGCCUCGGGGAGCCGAGUGUACUGAGGAAAGCAGAGGAGUACCUGCGGCUGUCUAAAGUGAAGUGUGUCAGUCUGUCUGCACACACCUCAGAAACCAGCAAUGCUGUCAUAUGCCUGGACCUUGCAGCGUCCUGUAGGAAGUGCCCCUUGGAUAGAGCGUAUCUAAUUAAGCUCUCUGGUUUGAACAAGAAGAUGUAUCAGAGCUGUCUUAAAUCUUUUGAGUGUUUGCUGGGGUUAAACUCAAAUAUUGGAUUAAGAGACCUGGCUGUGCAGUUCAGCUGUACAGAAGCCGUGAACUUGGCUGCGGGGAUACUGCAAAGCUAUGAGUCUAGUCUUCCGGAAGCACAGCGAGCAGAUCUUGACUUGUCCAGGCCACUUUUCACCACGGCGGCUCUACUCUCAGCAUGCAAGUAAGAGUUCCUGGGUAGUGUUUUCUUGUGGGGUGUGUGUGUGUG